rnacentral:rRNA from 1 species
UACGUAGGGGGCAAGCGUUGUCCGGAAUCAUUGGGCGUAAAGAGCGUGUAGGCGGUUCGGUAAGUCCGUCGUGAAAGUCCAGGGCUCAACCCUGGAAUGCCGAUGGAUACUGCUGGACUAGAGUCCGGAAGAGGCGAGUGGAAUUCCUGGUGUAGCGGUGAAAUGCGCAGAUAUCAGGAGGAAUACCGGUGGCGAAGGCGGCAUCCUGGACCGACAUUGACGCUGAGGAGCGAAAGCUAGGGGAGCAAACGGG